GUGCUUGCUUUGGUAGCACAUAUACUAAAAAAUUGGAAAGAUGCAGAGAAGAUGAGCAUGGCCCCUGAACAAGGGUGACACACAAAUUUGUGAAACGUUCCAUAUUUUU
ensembl:snRNA U6 U6 spliceosomal RNA